rnacentral:tRNA from 5 species
CGCGGGGUGGAGCAGCGGCAGCUCGCGUGGCUCAUAACCACGAGGUCGUGGGUUCGAAUCCCACCCCCGCUACCA